rnacentral:rRNA from 1 species
AACUUCUGAAUGUUGACCUCGGGAUCAGGUAGAGCCGUCGAUUCCCC